CGAAUGGCUCAUUAAAUCAGUUAUCGUUUAUUUGAUAGUACCUUACUACUUGGAUAUCCGUGGUAAUUCUAGAGCUAAUACAUGCUAAAAUCCCCGACUUCGGAAGGGGUGUGUUUAUUAGAUAAAAAACCAAUGCCCUUCGGGGCUCUUUGGUGAUUCAGAAUAACUUUUCGAAUCGCAUGGCCUUGCGCCGGCGAUGGUUCAUUCAAAUUUCUGCCCUAUCAACUUUCGAUGGUAAGGUAUUGGCUUACCAUGGUUUCAACGGGUAACAGAGAAUUAGGGUUCGAUUCUGGAGAGGGAGCCGGAGGAACGGCUCCUACAUCCAAGGAAGGCAGCAGGCGCGCAAAUUACCCAAUCCCGACACGGGGAGGUAGUGACAAUAAAUACUGAUACAGGGCUCUUUUGGGUCUUGUAAUCGGAAUGAGUACAAUUUAAACCCCUUAACGAGGAACAAUUGGAGGGCAAGUCUGGUGCCAGCAGCCGCGGUAAUUCCAGCUCCAAUAGCGUAUAUUAAAGUUGUUGCAGUUAAAAAGCUCGUAGUUGAACCUUGGGCCUGGCUGGCCGGUCCGCCUCACCGCGUGUACUGGUCCGGCCGGGCCUUUCCUUCUGGAGAACCUCAUGCCCUUCACUGGGUGUGCUGGGGAACCAGGACUUUUACUUUGAGAAAAUUAGAGUGUUCAAAGCAGGCCUUUGCUCGGAUACGUUAGCAUGGAAUAAUAGAAUAGGACGUGCGGUUCUAUUUUGUUGGUUUCUAGAACCGCCGUAAUGAUUAAUAGGGACAGUCGGGGGCGUCAGUAUUCAAUUGUCAGAGGUGAAAUUCUUGGACCAAUUGAAGACUAACUACUGCGAAAGCAUUCGCCAAGGAUGUUUUCAUUAAUCAGUGAACGAAAGUUAGGGGAUCGAAGACGAUCAGAUACCGUCGUAGUCUUAACCGUAAACUAUGCCGACUAGGGAUCGGGCGAUGU
rnacentral:rRNA from 1 species